AGAGACAGCAGUAGCCGCGGUAAUACAGAGGGUGCGAGCGUUAAUCGGAUUUACUGGGCGUAAAGCGUGCGUAGGCGGCUUCUUAAGUCGGAUGUGAAAUCUCUGAGCUUAACUUAGGAAUUGCAUUCGAUACUGGGAAGCUAGAGUAUGGGAGAGGAUGGUAGAAUUCCAGGUGUAGCGGUGAAAUGCGUAGAGAUCUGGAGGAAUACCGAUGGCGAAGGCAGCCAUCUGGCCUAAUACUGACGCUGAGGUACGAAAGCAUGGGGAGCAAACAGGAUUAGAUACCCCAGUAGUCCCUGUCUCUUAUAC
rnacentral:rRNA from 1 species